rnacentral:lncRNA from 1 species
CUCCCCAGCUCUGUAAUUUAAUCAGAGAACUAAAGCCAAGGAAGAGACACGUGCAAUGUUUUGUUUGGCUUUUUAAGACGCUGUGCAGAACUACCUGUACCUGAAAGACAAGAAAGGAUGCCAGGAUGCUGUCGAUACUUUCUCGAGCAGAUUUGAUAAUUGGAGGUAAACAUGGGGUUAACUGGAUCAGAAUAAAUGAGAGUGGUCCCCGGAUCAUCUUUCUUUGGCUACGGGAAAAUGCCAGCGGGGGUGAGGAGGCUGAGGAGAGCUCCCCACAGGCGUGAGGCAGACGGAGCAGCGCAGAGUGCGUUACUGUGUGUGGCUGUUUCUGGGCUGUGUUCUCUGUCCCAGUAGGGA